rnacentral:tRNA from 1 species
GCUGCGGUGGCCUAGCUGGUUAGGGCGCCAGACUCAUAGGGUUUGAGCAGAACGGAGCGCCCAUACCUGGGACAUCUGGAGGUCGUGGGUUCGGAUCCCACCCGCAGCA